rnacentral:rRNA from 1 species
AAGGGCACCACCAGGAGUGGAGCCUGCGGCUUAAUUUGACUCAACACGGGAAAACUCACCCGGCCCGGACACUAGCAGGAUUGACAGAUUGAGAGCUCUUUCUUGAUUAGUGGGUGGUGGUGCAUGGCCGUUCUUAGUUGGUGGAGCGAUUUGUCUGGUUAAUUCCGAUAACGAACGAGACUCUAGCCUAUUAAAUAGUUGCCGUCGUCUUCGGCCGGCGGCAGCAAACUUCUUAGAGGGAUAAGUGGCGAUUCAGCCGCAUGAAAGAGAGCAAUAACAGGUCUGUGAUGCCCUUAGAUGUCCGGGGCCGCACGCGCGCUACACUGAAGUGAUCAGCGUGUCCGAGUUCCUGCUCCGCCAGGAGUGGGUAACCCCUUGAACCUUCUUCGUGAUAGGGAUUGGGCAUUGCAAUUAUUGCCCACGAACGAGGAAUUCCUUGUACGUGCGAGUCAUCAGCUUGCGCGGACUACGUCCCUGACCUUUGUACACACCGCCCGUCGCUACAACCGAUUGAAUGAU